CGCUGGGCGGCGUGCUUAACACAUGACAAGUCGGAACGGAGUAUAGACGCUGCAGAGAUUUCGGUCAAAGCUUGUUUAUACUUAGUGGCGGGACGGGUGAGGUAACGCGGUGGGUAACCUGCCGUAUGCGAGGGGGGACAACAGUUGGAAACGACUGCUAAUACCGCAUAUGCGCACAGUACCGCAUGGUACGGUGUGGAAAGAUUUAUCGGCAUACGAUGGACCCGCGUUUGAUUAGAUAGUUGGUGAGGUAACGGCUCACCAAGUCGACGAUCAAUAGCCGGCCUGAGAGGGCAAUCGGCCACAUUGGGACUGAGACACGGCCCAAACUCCUACGGGAGGCAGCAGUGGGGAAUAUUGCACAAUGGGGGAAACCCUGAUGCAGCCGACGCCGCGUGAGUGAAGAAGUAUUUCGGUAUGUAAAGCUCUAUCAGCAGGGAAGAUGAUGACGGUACCUGACUAAGAAGCCCCGGCUAACUACGUGCCAGCAGCGGC
rnacentral:rRNA from 1 species